CUCCUGCCUCAGCCUCCUGAAUAGCUGGGACUACAGGUUCUGCUCACCCCAAAACAGAAGAAGAAAGGAACAGAGAAAGAAUGGACACCAGCAAUGCCAAGUGGUUCUCUUACGCCCCUGCCUGCAGGACCCUGCGAGAUGUUCCAUCGGACUUGGAAAACCCAGGACACUCACCUUUGAAAGUCCCCAAAUUAAAGGCUCAUGAAGAGGUGAUGCAUUUGGAGGCAGAAUGGAAUGGUGCACCGUGCAAACAACGCCUGGGCCCCUGCAUCGGUGGGAAGGGCCCAGCGCUGGAACGUGGGAGGACACAGGUUUCUGUCACUAAAAUGGUAGAAUGAUCCCUAAGGGAAUCUGUGCAGGGAUGAACCUCUGGAUUUGAGAUGGCGGCCUGCGUUCUUGGGAGCCGAGCUGGCCGUCCGCACUCACUAAACCCUGUGCUCUGGCCUACCUGGCGUUAUACAAGUCAAGCGGGGAACCUCUCUGUGCCUUCGGGUGCCCAGCUUAAGGGGACAAGCCUUGUCCCUUCCUGGGAUAGAGGCUUUGGGGCACCAAUGAGCUGAAAUUCUUGCUUUUAAGCAGUACUCUGGGCAACAAAAAAGUUCUACAGUCUCGAGAAUCUUU